GUGUUUUAUUAUUUUUCAGUGAGCCAGGGUGCCUGCAUUCUGUGACCUGUAGCGGUAUGCCAGGAGCCUUGGUAUGGACCUGGUCGUGGCAACGGCGGCAGGGCACAGCGCGUCCAAUGCCGCGGUCGCCGACGUCGGUCGACGUCGCCCGCCCGCACCGCCUGGCCAGCGCGGCUGCCGGAGCUCGGCGCGAGCUUCAAGCAGCGGAACGCGCCUAACUCAAGAUACUUUUUCUAUUAUUUCCGUUAACUAAUGCAUUAGUCAUGGUUACAAACAUCAGUACACAAUUUCUUCCGCUCCUGUGAUUGAUUCAAGACACGUCACAAAAUUAACACUUUUCCGUUGCGAAACAAAUAUCAACGUGGAAGUUUUAUUACUUAUAUACCGUAUGUAAAUAGACGUAAGUUAGAAUUAAGCAGUUUCCUUUAAGUAGUCAGCAAGACAGUUUAGUAGUAGUUAAGUUUUGUUUCUUUUUUAUUCAGAGUGUUAUUUUCAGAACGAAUUAGAUUUAAGUUUCAAAUGUAUUGUCACAGCUAGAAAAACGACAUAUCCAACAAUUAAUUUAGUAGUAAAUUAUGUCAUGUUCCUUUAUUCCCAGAUUUAAGUUUCAAAGUUGAAAUCAGACGUAGAAAAACGACAUAUCCAACAAGUAAUUUAGAAGUAAGUUAUGUAUGUACAACGUUCCUUUUUUGUUUUUGUUUUAAAAUACAUCACAUUUUUGUUUUAAAAUUAAUCACCUUUCGAAAAACUUUGUCAAUGGAAUAAAUAAAUGGCUAGGACGUGUGUUGUUACCAAAAAUUACCAAAUAUAAAGUAACAUGAUUGUGACAAGGGAUUGAUUUUCGUGUCGCUGGUAUUGGAUACAAUUUUAUUAAAACUCUGAUUUCAAUAAAUAGAGAGAGGAUUGUCAAGUUGCAGAUUUCUAAAAACUGGUUAUGGAAUACUCACACAUGUUGUCAAUAAAAUUUAAAGUUGCAUGAA